rnacentral:rRNA from 1 species
UACGUAGGGGGCGAGCGUUAUCCGGAUUUAUUGGGCGUAAAGCGUGUGUAGGCGGUUUGUUAAGUCUAAAAUAAAAGCCUGGAGCUUAACUCCAGUUCGUUUUAGAAACUGGCAGACUUGAGUGUGGUAGAGGCAAGUGGAAUUUCUAGUGUAGCGGUUAAAUGCGUAGAUAUUAGAAGGAACACCAGUGGCGAAGGCGGCUUGCUGGGCCAUUACUGACGCUGAGACACGAAAGCGUGG